ensembl:lncRNA
GGAAAGUAAAUGAUCUUAUUUAGUGAAUAAUACUUUAAAUGUGAAUAAAUCAGUUAUUGCUGAUUGUCCCCACAGCAAAUUCCAUGGAGACAUCUGGAUUUGUCCAGGACAAACUAACUGAAUGGGGAUUCAGUGAGUUCAUGCAGAGAUUUAAAGAUGAAGGCAUUGACAAGGAGACGUUUCUAAACCUUGGAGAUUCAAUCCGAAUUAAUUUACUGUUUCCUAAAAUUGGACCAAGAGUAAAGUUUAGAAAGAGACUCAAAGAUUACUUACAGAUGGAGAUAUGUCAUUUUGUCCAGGAAAAAUUAACUGAAUGGCAUCUCAGUGAGCUGAUUCACAGAUUUGAAGAGGAGGGUAUUGACAAAGAAGCUUUCCUAAGUCUCGAGUCAGGCAGAAUCAAUACUUUGAUUCCAAAAAUUGGACCAAGAGUAAAGUUUAAAAGGAGACUCAGAGAAUACUUACAGGACUUGAAUAGAACACAUGAUGAUUCUGCUGACAUGAUGGAAACAAGCGCAGAGCAAGAGGACAGUCCAGAAAUGGUAUGAUCUCAUUGUGCCUGAACAUGGUUCAUUAUUGAGUGAUUAAUCUUUGAUCAUUUUUGUUAUUAAUGUCAUCAUGUUAUUAUAGAAAAAUUAAUGUUGUCAGCGUUAAUCUCCUUAAGUAAAGUAAGUAAGUAAAAUUUUAUUUAAAUAGUACCUUUCAAGAUAAAAUCACAAAGUGCUUCACACAAGCAGAAAUGGACAUACAACCUCAAACAAACAAAAGCAACCAAAAGCAAGUUUAAACAGAUACAUUUUUAACUGCUUUUUAAAUGAAAUGACUGAGUCCACAGAUCUCGAACUCAAAGGGAGCGAGUUCCAGAGUCUGGGAGCCAUUGACACAAACGGUCUGUCAUUGUUUGUUUUUAACCUUGUAUGCUGGAAAACCAGCAAGCGCUGGUCACAAGACCUCAGGGACCUGCUGGGGCGAUAAGGCAGAAGGAGAUCACUGAUGUAAGUUGGAGCUACACCGUGCAGGGCCCUAUAGGUCAUGAUUAUAAUCUUAAAAUGAACCCUGAACUUGACAGGAUGUCAGACUUGACGUCCUGACACCAUAGCCGCAUUAACGCAGCAAAUCUACGUUAGCUGGUUACCGUGGAUCUCCCCAUGGGUGAGCUGGACGCCACUAAACAAUAACAAGCUUGUGCCAUAUUGUUAAAAUGACAUUAUGGCGUUAAUGUCAUUUUAAAGAGAUUAAUGUUGACAGCACUAAUCAAAAAUACAUUUUGAUGGAUUCAAGGACUCAUAUCUUUAGAGUAAAACAGGUGUCAAUAUGAGCAAAGUGAACCAGGUUAGCUGUUUACCUAAGUCCUCUGCAGAAUUCUCCAACACAGCUCAACUGUUUUUCACAAACUGUGAGUAAACAACAUGAAGGCCUGUGCCUUGUCUGGAUAAUUAUUUGGUAUUUGUUUUCACGCAGGAGCCAAACAUUUUUCCUCAACAUUUGGAAUCUUCUUCAGCGUCUGACACAACAGAUGGCAAAGACAGGGUAAGAAAGGAAGUCAGAAAAGAUACUUUUAAACUGGUUGAAGAUCCAGUGAUUUACAAUGAUUUUAUCUGAAGACAAACAUUUUGUCUCCAUAAUGCUGCAAUAAGAGGAGCAAUAAAUAAUGAAGCUAACAAAUUCAAACUGCUUCAAAUUAGUUUAAUAUAAAUAUCUGAAAUGCACCUUCAUCACGUGAAUAUGAAAUAUUAAGAGUAUAGGUAGGCCUGGCUGAUGUUUUGGCCUUGGUUUAGAUGCAGGACCACAACAUUUAUCCAUUUCAGUUGGAGUCUGCUUCAGCAGUUGACAGAGGCAGUGACACAGUAAGAAGGAAUAUUGAUGUUUCUCCUCAAGUCAUGUUGUUAUCCCAAUAUUAUUUGUGUAUAUAAAACACAUGUUUGUUUGUCUUUUCAGAGUAAUGAACCAAUUUGCUCCUGGGCAACAGUGACACAAGGACAAAGUCCAACCACAUUUACAAUGUUUUACUGUCAAGAGUGUAAAAACUUCAUGGGAAACGAUCCUGAUUCUUGUUGUUCUCACUGUGCCUCUGUGUUCAACAAAGCAAGCAGCAUUCAAAAUGGAAACUUCUUUCUGUACUCAUCCCUGAAAGACCUUCUGAAAGGUAUCCUUGAGAACCACAGCGCUGAGUUGUUACCUAAAACAGUUAAAGAUGAGCAUGAUAACAUCAAAGAUGUGAUGGAUGGGAUGAUGUACCAGAAUCUCCUCAGAGAGGGUAAACUAGCUGCAGAUGAUCUCACACUGACAUGGAAUUUUGAUGAAGUACCAAUUUUUAGCACCACCAGAUACUCAAUUUGGCCCCUUCAGUUUGUUAUUAAUGAACUUCCUUACACACAAAGACAGGAAAAUAUGAUAGUUGCUGGAUUUUGGUUUGGCCAAGGAAAACCUCAUAUGAACACAUUUCUGAAACCAUUUGUGGAUGAAUGUUGUGAUUUAGCCCAAAAUCCAUUUCAGUGGAGAGACAGCAGAGGCACUCUUCAUUCAUCAAAAGUCUUCUGCUUGGUUUGCUCCUCUGACGCUGUGGCGAGGCCACUUCUCCGGAAUUGCAAACAAUUCAAUGGAGAAUAUGGUUGUGACUGGUGUUUACACCCUGGCACAGUGGUACCAAAAGGCUCUGGCUCUAUGAGGUCAUACCGAUAUGAUGAAACUAAACAAGCAUCAAGAUCAAAAAAUAUGUUUGUUGAAAACACCUCAGAGUAUGGUGUAAAAGGAAUGUCCUUACUUUCCAGACUUCCUUUGUUUGACAUUGUGUUUGGAUUUGUACCAGAAUAUAUGCACUCAGUUUUAGUUGGUGUGACUAAGCAACUUAUUGGAUUGUGGCUGAACUCAGAGAACUCCAAGAAAGACUGGUAUGUAGGUCAACAGAUUUCACAGAUGGACUCUUAUCUCUUAAAGCCUCCAUCAGAAAUGAGCAGAUCUCUACAGUCACUGAAGGGUCGGGACUCUUGGAAAGCAUCUGACUGGCGAGCUUUCCUUUUAUUUUAUGCUGUUAGUGUCCUACCAGGCAUCCUUCAGCCUUCAUUUCUCCAGCAUUUUUUUUGUUUGUCGAUCAGCAUUCACAUUCUGCUACAAGAAUCAGUCUCCCAAAAUGACCUUCAGCUGGCCCAUGAGAACUUGGUACUCUUUGUUAGAAACAUGGAAGAACUCUAUGGUGAAGAAAACGUUUCAUUCAACUGCCAUCAGUUGAUCCACUUAGCUGACUGUGUGCGUAACUGGGGGCCUCUCUGGGCAACAUCAGCAUUCAGUUUUGAGAGGAACAGUGCAAAUUUAAGGGCACUGCUUAGCAACAUAAACUACAAUCCUCAAAAAAUUCAAGACAAGUUUCUCCGUUGGCAGCGCCUGCCGAGUCACCUUCGCUCCCUUGUUUCUAACGGAAAUUCUCCGUUAGCCAGAAUUUCACCAGUAAAUGAAACCACUGAUUGUUACGAUCUGCUUGGAAAUUCACGGCAUCUGGAUAUCACAGGAUCCAUAAAACUAGCAAUAGAAGAGCUCUUAAAUCGACCUGUUUCAUUCAGAUCAGUGGAAGCCUUUGACAGCUUCAUCAACAGAAAUACUGUUUACUCUGUAAACCAUGAAGAGACAAGAGACUGUGUCAUAAAACUCAAGAAUGGCUGCUAUGGAGAAAUACAGUUCAUCGUCAGGUUUAAAGAGAACUGUGUUUGCACAUCCAACUGUGUGUGCUCGGCUAUUUCAGUCAUUGUGGUCCAGCUGUUUUAUAUCAAACGUGAUGCAGAGGACAGCAGGAUGAUUCCUGACAGUGCAUCAAGGACUAUCUUUGUGGAAGUGGAAAGGACAACUCAGCUCAAAGCCUUCUUCUUGAGGGAUGUUAGGUGUAAAUGCAUGUAUGUGGAUGGUUGGCUGGUGACUUUACCAAACUCAUAUGAAAGAUAUUAAAGUUCCAGCACAGCUAAGGUGCUUUCUCUGUCUUGUAUAUCAUGGCACAUGGCUGUUUUUACUACAGUGAAAAUCUUGGAAAAAUGAAUGAUGAUGAAGUUUUUUCAAAGGAGUUUGGAGUCAUUUUGUUCAUAUGUGUGCGAGAUCUGUGGCUUACGUUUUCUUUUGGUGUGACAGUGUGGACAUAAUGUAGUCAGUGUAAUGUAGGAUUAUAUCACUCAGUACUGUAUGUGUAUUAUCUGUAUAUGGAGGAAAUUAUGGAGUGAUUUGUAAACAGCCAAAAGCUUGCCUUUCCCAACUUUGUAUUCACUACGUAUUUAUCAUACAUGUCAGUUUACCUCUAUUCAAACUGAAAUGCAAAUUAUUGUGACACAUAAACAUUUUGUGAAUUAACGCUAAAAAUCCGGGGUGAGUGGAUCAAUGUGGUUUACUGCAUCCUGAUACAGAUUGCUAUUACUGAGAUAACAGAUCAUAAAGCUUCAUAUUACCUCAUAUUAUUGUGUAAUGGCUGAUGAGACUUAUUCUGUUUAAAUCUGCAAUGUGUGCAAGUCUAUUGAAUAUAAUACAGAUUGAUUUGCUCAAGAAUGUUUGUAUCCUGCUACAUAAAAAUGAUUAUAAUUAAAGUCUUAUUACUUAAAUAUGCCUG